rnacentral:rRNA from 1 species
AAAAAAGGUAAGCUACUAAGAGCGAAUGGUGGAUGCCUUGACUGGUAAAGGCGAUGAAGGACGUACUAGACUGCGAUAAGCUACGGGGAGCUGUCAAGAAGCUUUGAUCCGUAGAUUUCCGAAUGGGGCAACCCAAUGUAUAGAGAUAUACAUUACCUAUAUAGGAGCGAACGAGGGGAAUUGAAACAUCUUAGUACCCUCAGGAAAAGAAAUCAAUAGAGAUUGCGUCAGUAGCGGCGAGCGAAAGCGCAAGAGGGCAAACCCAGUGCUUGCACUGGGGGUUGUAGGACUGCAAUGUGCAAGAGGUGAGUUUAGCAGAACAUUCUGGAAAGUAUAACCAUAGAGGGUGAUAGUCCCGUAUGCGAAAAACAAACCUUAGCUAGCAGUAUCCUGAGUAGGGCGGGACACGAGAAAUCCUGUCUGAAGCUGGGUCGACCACGAUCCAACCCUAAAUACUAAUACCAGAUCGAUAGUGCACAAGUACCGUGAGGGAAAGGUGAAAAGAACUGAGGUGAUCAGAGUGAAAUAGAACCUGAAACCAUUUGCUUACAAUCAUUCAGAGCCCUAUGUAGCAAUACAGGGUGAUGGACUGCCUUUUGCAUAAUGAGCCUGCGAGUUGUGGUGUCUGGCAAGGUUAAGCAAACGCGAAGCCGUAGCGAAAGCGAGUCUGAAUAGGGCGCUUAGUCAGAUGCUGCAGACCCGAAACGAAGUGAUCUAUCCAUGAGCAAGUUGAAGCUAGUGUAAGAACUAGUGGAGGACUGAACCCAUAGGCGUUGAAAAGCCCCGGGAUGACUUGUGGAUAGGGGUGAAAGGCCAAUCAAACUUCGUGAUAGCUGGUUCUCUCCGAAAUAUAUUUAGGUAUAGCGUUGUGUCGUAAUAUAAGGGGGUAGAGCACUGAAUGGGCUAGGGCAUACACCAAUGUACCAAACCCUAUCAAACUCCGAAUACCUUAUAUGUAAUCACAGCAGUCAGGCGGCGAGUGAUAAAAUCCGUCGUCAAGAGGGAAACAACCCAGACUACCAGCUAAGGUCCCUAAAUCUUACUUAAGUGGAAAACGAUGUGAAGUUACUUAAACAACCAGGAGGUUGGCUUAGAAGCAGCCAUCCUUUAAAGAAAGCGUAAUAGCUCACUGGUCUAGUGAUUUUGCGCGGAAAAUAUAACGGGGCUAAAGU